rnacentral:rRNA from 1 species
GACGUAGGGCGCGAGCGUUGUCCGGAUUUAUUGGGCGUAAAGAGCUCGUAGGCGGCUCGUUGCGUCGGCUGUGAAAACCCGCAGCUCAACUGUGGGCUUGCAGCUGAUACGGGCGGGCUGGGAUUCGGUAGGGGAGACUGGAAUUCCUGGUGUAGCAGUGAAAUGCGUAGAGAUCAUGAGGAAGACCAGUGGCGAAGGCGGGUCUCUGGACAGUUCCUGACACUGAGGCACGAAGGCCAGGGGAGCAAACGGG